rnacentral:rRNA from 1 species
AUGAAUAACGACAGAAAAAUAUGCCUGAGGAGUAUGGGUUGCACAGAGGAGUAUAAGGAUUUCUUCAUCGGGCCAGUCCACGUGGAAGAUGUCGCGUUAGCCCAUAUCACGCUGUUUGAAAACCCGGCUGCAUCCGGGAGGCACCUCUGUGUGGAGCCCAUAUGUCACUUGAGCGAUUUCGCGUCCCAAGUCGCGGAGCUCUACCCCGACUACGAAGUCCCGAAAUUACCUGAGGACACGCAGCCUGGGCUGGUGAGAACGGAGGCGGUGCCGAAGAAGCUGAUGGCACUGGGCCUGCAUUUCACUCCUUUGGAAAAGAUCAUCAAGGAUGCGGUGGAGAGCCUUCGGAGAAGAGGAUGCAUCGCCUGA